UACGGGGGGGGCAAGCGUUGUUCGGAAUUACUGGGCGUAAAGGGCUCGUAGGCGGCCAACUAAGUCAGACGUGAAAUCCCUCGGCUUAACCGGGGAACUGCGUCUGAUACUGGAUGGCUCGAGUUUGGGAGAGGGAUGCGGAAUUCCAGGUGUAGCGGUGAAAUGCGUAGAUAUCUGGAGGAACACCGGUGGCGAAGGCGGCAUCCUGGACCAACACUGACGCUGAGGCACGAAGGUCAGGGGAGCAAACGGG
rnacentral:rRNA from 1 species